rnacentral:lncRNA from 1 species
CCAGUUCUCUCCAGCUCCCACCAUUGUGACUUCUCGGCCAUGCCAUUGUGAAAUACAUAGAAACUCUCUUGGAUCCAUUUCACCUUCUAGCUGUUUUGCCAUUUCUUCCCCUCGUCUACAGCAAAACUCUACAAAAGAAUUGAUUAUGGUCAUCGUCUCAGUAGGAGCUGCACUGACGUCAUCUCCUAGGAUGGGCUCUGUAGAGUUUCCACCACCUCUAAGAGAAAAUGGGCAGAGGACAUGCUGACUGAGAUGUCCUGGAGGACAAUGAGCACUCAUCCCAUUUGUGCUCAUGAAGGCUUAACCAUCAAGGGCUCAGAGCUUCCCUGGCUCUUCC